rnacentral:rRNA from 18 species
GUUGGUGUUGAUUGCGGUGAGGGUCCACCCGUUCCCAUCCCGAACACGGCAGUUAAGCUCACCUGCGCCGACAAUACUUGGCUGGAGACGGCCUGGGAAGAUAGGUAACGCCAACA